rnacentral:tRNA from 1 species
GCCUCCAUAGUUCAAUGGAUAGAACGGUGGAUUCCUAAUCCACAGAUCCAGGUUCGAUUCCUGGUGGAGGUA